rnacentral:lncRNA from 1 species
GACAUGCAGAGAAGGCCCAUCAACUUAGUCAAGAGAUUGAGACUCUCUCUACUCACAAAAGUCUUUGUGAUCAUCGACUCCAGUUUCAGAGGAAGAAAUUCGCCAUGUUGAAGGAAACUUUUGCCAGUAUUAAUUUGUAGUCGAAUUAAUUUAACAAUUCUCAGCCCUUUGAGGCUUUCUUUGUAAUAACUUUAGUGCCAUUUUUAUUUGGCAAAGCUUAUCACAACUAUGUUUACAAUUAUUCUAUUAUUAUUUUUACUUCCUGCAA